rnacentral:rRNA from 1 species
UACGUAGGGAGCAAGCGUUGUCCGGAUUUACUGGGUGUAAAGGGUGCGUAGGCGGCCGAGUAAGUCAGAUGUGAAAUCUAUGGGCUCAACCCAUAAACUGCAUUUGAAACUAACCCGGCUUGAGUGAAGUAGAGGCAGGCGGAAUUCCCUGUGUAGCGGUGAAAUGCGUAGAGAUAGGGAGGAACACCAGUGGCGAAGGCGGCCUGCUGGGCUUUAACUGACGCUGAGGCACGAAAGCGUGGGUAGCAAACAGGAUUAGAUACCCGGGUAGGUCCCU